AAAUGAAUUGACGGGGACCCGCACAAGCAGCGGAGCAUGUGGUUUAAUUCGAAGCAACGCGAAGAACCUUACCUAGACUUGACAUCUCCUGAAUUACUCGUAAUAGAGGAAGUCCCUUCGGGGACAGGAAGACAGGUGGUGCAUGGUUGUCGUCAGCUCGUGUCGUGAGAUGUUGGGUUAAGUCCCGCAACGAGCGCAACCCUUAUUAUUAGUUGCUACUAUUAAGUUAAGCACUCUAAUGAGACUGCCGCGGUUAACGUGGAGGAAGGUGGGGAUGACGUCAAAUCAUCAUGCCCCUUAUGUCUAGGGCUACACACGUGCUACAAUGGCUGGUACAACGAGCAGCAAACCCGCGAGGGGGAGCAAAACUUGAAAGCCAGUCCCAGUUCGGAUUGUAGGCUGAAACUCGCCUACAUGAAGUUGGAGUUGCUAGUAAUCGCGAAUCAGCAUGUCGCGGUGAAUACGUUCCCGGGUCUUGUACACACCGCCCGU
rnacentral:rRNA from 1 species